rnacentral:rRNA from 1 species
CAGCAGCCACGGUAAUACGGAGGGUGCAAGCGUUAUCCGGAUUUAUUGGGUUUAAAGGGUCCGUAGGCGGACUUAUAAGUCAGUGGUGAAAGCCUGUCGCUUAACGAUAGAACUGCCAUUGAUACUGUAAGUCUUGAGUAUAUUUGAGGUAGCUGGAAUAAGUAGUGUAGCGGUGAAAUGCAUAGAUAUUACUUAGAACACCAAUUGCGAAGGCAGGUUACCAAGAUAUAACUGACGCUGAGGGACGAAAGCGUGGGUAGCGAACAGGAUUAGAUACCCCAGUAGUCCUGUCUCUUAUACA